CCAACGGCCCUCUUUAGGGCCACAAAUAUACCAAAAUGAUCCAGA
rfam:Caenorhabditis tropicalis strain JT1373 unplaced genomic scaffold Scaffold629, whole genome shotgun sequence.